UACGGAGGGUGCAAGCGUUAUCCGGAUUCACUGGGUUUAAAGGGUGUGUAGGCGGGCUGUUAAGUCAGUGGUGAAAUCUCCGGGCUCAACCCGGAAACUGCCAUUGAUACUAUCAGUCUUGAAUACCGUUGAGGUGGGCGGAAUAUGUCAUGUAGCGGUGAAAUGCAUAGAGAUGUGGAGGAACACCGAUGGCGAAGGCAGCCCCCUGGGCUAACACUGACGCUCAUGCACGAAAGCGUGGGGAGCAAACAGG
rnacentral:rRNA from 1 species